UGGGGAAUAUUGGACAAUGGGCGCAAGCCUGAUCCAGCAACGCCGCGUGGAGGAUGAAGGUCUUCGGAUCGUAAACUCCUGUCAGGUGGGACGAAGGCAGUGGGGUGAAUAAUCCUACUGUUUGACGGUACUACCAGAGGAAGCCCCGGCUAACUCCGUGCCAGCAGCCGCGGUAAUACGGAGGGGGCGAGCGUUAUUCGGAAUUAUUGGGCGUAAAGGGCGCGUAGGCGGCUUUCUAAGUCAAAGGUGAAAUCCCUCGGCUCAACUGAGGAACUGCCUUUGAAACUGGAAGGCUUGAGGCCGGGAGAGGGUAGCGGAAUUCCCAGUGUAGCGGUGAAAUGCGUAGAUACUGGGAGGAACACCGGUGGCGAAGGCGGCUACCUGGACCGGAACUGACGCUGAGGCGCGAAAGCGUGGGUAGCAAACAG
rnacentral:rRNA from 1 species